UGAGGAGAUACCCUGAAGCUAGACUGCAUGCUCCAGCACCACCUCCUCCAAGGUCCAAGCAAGAGCCACCCAACUGAGCCUCAGCCAAUCCACAGAAUGUUUCUCAGGAAGAGUCUACUGCUGGAGUGGUGGCGCACAGAAAACCCACAGUUCCUGAGGAAGCGUCGCUGCUGGAAUCCCGUGGGAAAAUCUGACCUCGCCAGGGCCAAGAAUGGCAGACUGAAAUUCUAGUAGACUUGAGCCAUGUGAUAAACUGCUUUGCUCUGGAAAGAAGAGAGUGCUGCACAAAGACCGAUGGACUGAUAUGCAGGAAACAUCCCCUCUCAGUGGGAGAGGACUGGCUUUCUUGAGCAUCUGUAUGCAUAGAGCUGCUGCUGCUCCAUUCAUAUGAAGAGGCCUCCACUGAGAGUCACUUUCUAUUAGACUGCUUGGAUGUUCCACAUGUUGCCAAAUACAGUAGAAUUUAAAAGCUGUAUUG
rnacentral:lncRNA from 1 species